rnacentral:rRNA from 1 species
UACGAGGGGGGCGAGCGUUGUUCGGAAUUAUUGGGCGUAAAGGGUGCGUAGGCGGUUUGGUAAGUCUUGUGUGAAAUCUUCGGGCUCAACUCGAAGUCUGCAUGAGAAACUGCCGGGCUCGAGUAUGGGAGAGGUGAGUGGAAUUUCCGGUGUAGCGGUGAAAUGCGUAGAUAUCGGAAGGAACACCUGUGGCGAAAGCGGCUCACUGGACCAUAACUGACGCUGAUGCACGAAAGCUAGGGGAGCAAACAGGAUUAGAAACCCCGGUAGUCC